GUUCUUAACUCUUUUGUAUAUAAAUGCACAUCUGUUUCCUCCCAAGGGCAAAUCAGGGGUUUGGUACUAAUUUAUCUGCACCGCAUCAUCCUCCCCAAGGGCACUAUCAGCAGACAGACAUUUACAAGAUACCCAGUGGAAUUUAACCAGUGAUUGGGAUACAGCAAAGCCAAAUGGCCCUAAUGACAAUUAGUUUUCACUUUGAUGAUGGCAGUGAGCAUGGAAAGUAAUGGACAAAUACAGGAUAGUCUUUUUGAGGUCAAGUCUGCAAGCCACUAGACCUCUCUCAAUUCAAUUGUCUGUUGAAACCAAACUCUCACAGAGUAUCUAAUGGAGGAAAAGAAAAUAAAGAGCCAUUUACUAAGCAUAUUCACCAAAAAAAAAAACAAUGUUUCAAUAUUAAUGAAGGUUUAGAUUAAAAUUUAGGAUGGUUCUACUCCUUUAAAUCCCUUAGCACUCACACCCUGUCCCUAAAACCUUUCAUAAUUAUACUAGUUUUUCAUGAUAUAGAAAGUGAAUGUGAUAUCAAAAGUCAAAACAGUACAAGUAGCUUUUUGUAUAAAUGCUGGAAAGUAUCUCCUGUUACUUCAAGGACUAGGAAGGAUUUAGACUUCCACAUGUAAAAUGAUCGUGGCCUCUUUUCUAGGCUUUGUAAAUUGACCUUUUGGGGUAUAACUUUCAUAGGUCAGUUGGCCCACCAGAGUAAUUAAAUUAAAGAGUUCCAUACUCUGCUGAGUUUUGGUGGAGUUUUAUCCUGUGCAUUUGAAUGAGUAGGAUAAAGCUUUAUAUUACAUAUUUCACAUAUUCCUUACUGCCUACCUCCAUUCCAGCCUGGCUUCUAGCCUUUGGAAGAAAAUGUCUCUAGUACCCUGAUGCCAUGUGUUCCUUCAGCUUCUGAUCACAUUGCUUUCUCUUCAUUGCUGCAGUGGACCCACAUUCACCUUCUCUGUCAAGACAAACUCCUGGUCCUCUGUUAGGAGGACCUGCUCAAGUCUGGCUUUCAUUAGCACUGCAUGUCUCUGUUCUGUUUUACCUCCAUUCUCCUCUUUCAUGUGAAAACUACAAAAGGCUUUUUCACUCACCUUUUCUUAAGCUCCUUAAGCUCUCUAAUGCCUGUGUAAGUAUGCACGUGGAUGGAAUAAUACUCAAGAUAUAUACAAGGUAUUGUCAAACAUAAUGACAUUUUAUUAGGCUUUUUUUUUCCAGGUAAACACAUUUAACCAAAUCGCAAAUUAUAUUGCUCUUAAAGCUACACAGAAAAUCCCAGCAGAUAGGACUUCUGAGGUUUGGUGCAGUAGUUUGUCUUGAUGGCCUCAUGUACACAGUCACUAUAAUCAGUGUUACAUUUGCCGCAUUUGCAGCUUACAGCGACAGGGUAGGAGAAAUAUGGAGCAACAUGAUGUGGGCAUCCUGGUAUUUCUACAGUCCUGUAGAUGAAGUCUCUAUAUGUACACACAUCUUGGGAGAGGGCAUAUUUGGGAAGAAACAGCUUGCCGUUGAUAUCCUGAGAAUGAAUACAUAAGAGAGCAUAAUAUGAUAGGACUUUAGAAAACAUAGAUAAUGGAAACAGAUGAAUGCUGAUUCAUUAUAUUUCUUUUUCUUUUUUGUUUUUUUAAUUCUAAUUUGUUAUAUAUGACAGAAGAAUGCAUUACAAUUCAUAUUGCACAUAUAGAGCAUAAUUUUUCAUAUCUCUGUCUGUAUACAAAGUAUAUUCACAGCAUUCGUGUCUUCAUACAUGUACUAAGGGUAAUGAUGUCUAACUCAUUCCACUAUCUUUUUCACCCCCAUGCUCCCUCCCUUUCCCUCCCACCCCCUUUGCCCUAUCUAGAGUUUGUCUAAUCCUCCCCAUGCUCCUCCCUCCAAACCCCACUAUGAAUCAACUUCCUUAUAUCAGAGAAAACAUUUGGUAUUUGGUUUUCGGGAUUGGCUAACUUCACUUAGCAUUAUACUCUCCAACUCCAUCCAUUUACCUACAAAUGCCAUGAUUUUAUUGCUGAGUAAUAUUCCAUUGUGUAUAUAUACCACAUUUUCUUUAUCCAUUCAUCUACUGAAGGGCAUCUAGGUUGGUUCCACAGUUUAGCUAUUGUGAAUUGUGCUGCUAUAAACAUUGAUGUGGCUGUGUCCCUGAAGUAUGCUGGGUUUUUUUUGUUUGUUUGUUUUUUAAAAAAAAUAUUAUAUUGUAAGUUGUAGUUGGACACAAUAUCUUUAUUUCAUUUAUGUGGUGCUAAGGAUCAAACCCAGGGCCUCCCACGUGCUAGUCGAGUGCUCUACCGCUGAGCCACAACCCAGCCCCAAGUAUGCUGUUUUUAAAUCCUUUGGGUAUAGACUGAGGAGUGGGAUAGCUAGGUCAAAUGGUGGUUCCAUUCUUUGUCACAAAUAACAACUAAGAGAGGAUUCCUUUACCCUGUUCCCCAAUAACACAUCUACACUGAAUCCUACAGAGACAAAACUGAUACCUUCCUUUCUUUUAUCCCUGAUUAUGGGAAUAAGAUAAGCUUAAACAAAUAUGGAUAGCAAAACUAUUAUAAAUUUAUCUGUACCCAUUUUGCUGAGUAAAUCCACAUAAUAUUAUAAACUGUGUGCUCUACUUUUAAGGAGCCAAUAAUCAUUGGAUUUGGAAAAUGAGGUUGUCAUUUACCUCAUUUCCUUUACAGAUAGGAAUGAACUGCUUCUAUGUUUAUAUAAUUUAUGUCCAAAAGUGAGAUGAACUACAUACCCGUGUCAUACAAUAUCCAGCACAGAUGGUGGUGUUGAUGGUUAGGCAAUAAGCACACUCUCUCCUAUCGACAUGCAUUGUAUACUCGGUUGGAAUACAAAAAGUCAUUGCUUGCCCACAUGCAAGACCAAAAAGCAUGGACAUCAGGAAGAUGGCAGUCAUGCUAAAAUAAAAGAUAAAAUUUAAAAACCUAUUACAUGUAUUCUUUCAGAACAUUUGGAAGACACAUUUGGGAAAAGCUUACAUGUUUUUAUAUACUUAAUACNCU
rnacentral:lncRNA from 1 species